rnacentral:rRNA from 1 species
UACGGGGGGAGCAAGCGUUGUUCGGAUUUACUGGGCGUAAAGGGCGCGUAGGCGGUCAGCACAAGUCAGUUGUGAAAUCUCCGAGCUUAACUCGGAAAGGUCAACUGAUACUGUGCGACUAGAGUGCGGAAGGGGCAACUGGAAUUCUUGGUGUAGCGGUGAAAUGCGUAGAUAUCAAGAGGAACACCUGCGGCGAAGGCGGGUUGCUGGGCCGACACUGACGCUGAUGCGCGAAAGCCAGGGGAGCAAACGGG